UCUGGUCACCUUGGGGCAGCUUGGGUGUCUGAGAACUAAGCAGGAAUUGGCUUUGUUCUCUUGGCACAAUGCCAGUGGGCAUGUCCCUAGGGAGAGGUGCUCUCCAAUGGUCCAGGUAUACCCAGUUUCCUCUGGAUAUUUUCUCUGCACUGUGAUUUUAUGAAACAAAGAGCAUAGUUUUCAGAGUUGAAAAAGACCUCAGCAGACCAGGUAACAGCUUAGAAGUUAGCUUAGAACAUCAACGUGCCAAGGCUGGCAGGAUGUGGCAUAAUGGACUUCUACUGGUGGAAAGCAUGUGGGCAGAAUUACAGAACUGAAAGACCCCUAAGAAAACAGAAGGUCCACUGUAGAAGAGUCCUUGAAACGCUCCAAUGUCAGGGACGAAUCUGGAAGGCACUCUAGAACAUUCCACCAAGACCAUUUGUCCAUGGCCUUGGAACCUAGUCUGCAGGGCCGGAAGCGUCCUUCAAACACAGAACAUCAGCAGGGAUUCUGCUGGAAGGGAUAGACUAGACCAGGAAGGGAAACCUUUCCACCCUUGAAAUUCUGUGAUUCGAAGAUCCUGUUAUGUCAUUUGGCUUGGAAGGGGACAGGGAGUGGCAGGCAGAAAGAGGUCAUGAACCACAGAACUUGGAUGCUCAUUGUUGGCUGUGUUAUUGAGAAAAUGCUUAUUCCUUAGCAAGUUCUCCCAGCAGGUUCUCAAGGUGGCCCUCUCUCGAUCAGUUCUCAGUUUAACGAUUUGGGGCAACAUGGAGCUCAGACUGUCGGGCUGGAAGAGGUCUUAGAGCACGGGAAGACGAUGGAAACUGCAGGGAAUCAGAGCAGAGUCGGGACGGAACUCAUCAGGUCAGGACGUGGACGUACUUGGACUAGAACUUGGGGCUAGAGAUAGGGUAGCAUAAGAUUUGAUCCUAGAGUCUCUGAGCUGGAAUGAACAUUCAAACUUGAGGCUGCCACCUAGAACAUGGAAAGCUCUAGUUCCCUUUGGCUUUAUACUUGCUCAUUUUUGUGGUGGUGAACCAGAUGGCCCCGCAGGUCUCUGUAACGCCUCAGAUGUUUCCAUGUCUCUGAUUCGGUGAAACAGAGGCUCUGCAUCGCCGGACAUGGCAUGGUAGGACCGAAAGGAUCUGUGCCUUGGACAGCUGGGAGAUCCCUUCUAUGUGAGGGUCUCUGUGUCUCUGAUUUUCUGAGACACUGAGAGUGGAGUGUCUGGACUACACAGGCGGCCAGAGCUGCAGACAUACUGCUAAAGCGAGAAGGAGCCGGAGGACUUGGACUGACAUAUAUAUGACCAAUUCAAUUCUAUAAGAGACCCAUUCUCCAACUGGCAAAGUUGACCCCCAAAAGCCAACUAUUCAGCCUAUAUCCCCAAAGAGAACAAAAUAACAAGAAAAGGGGAGCAGCUGGGUAGCUCAAUGGAUUGAGAGCCAGGCCUACAGACAGAAGGUCCUGGGUUCCAAUAGGACCCCAGAUACUUCCUAGCUGGGUGACCCUGGCCAAGUCACUUGACUCCCAUUGCCCAGCCCUGACCUCCCUUCUGCCUUGGAACCGACACUUAGUAUUGAUUCUAAGACGGAAGGGAAGGGUUUAAAAAUUUUUUUUAAUAACAAGAAAAGGCCCCACGUGUACAAAAAUAUCUAAGGAUGCUCUUGUUAUAAUAAAUAUUUUAAAUAAAUAUAUUUGAAUAAUAAAUAUUUAACUAAGUAUAAAGAUUUUAGUCUUUGAAUAAUAAAUGGUUUAAAUAAAUAUAGUUAUAAUAAAUAUACUUUCCUAGUGGGGCUGCUCUAAACACUGUAAAAAAGCAAACAAGACUGAAAGUCAUCAGAACUCGACCAACCAUGCUGCCAGAAGGAUCAGCUAGAGAGGCAGGGAAACAUGCUCCCCACUCCUGACCUGACCUGACAUCCAGAACGAGCCAACGAGAGAAUUUCCUUUGCUUGAUUAUACCUACCUGUUUUUGUUGGCAGGGGAGGGAGGAAAGGAGCACAAUUCUACUUUUGCUCACCAAAUUCAAGAAGAGCCCAGACUACCAGGAUUAGAAGGGACCUUAUCAAAUAAGAUGUGGGACGACCCAGCAUGGAGAAGCCACAGAACACGUAAUCACAGAGACAGUCCACAUUGCAUCCUUUCUGUCUUGUCCAGCUCUUUUAGUCCUCAAGAAAUAGACCUUCAGGGCCAAGGGACAACAAAGGGCAAAACAGAGUUCCAGAGUUGGAAGAGGCUUGAGAACAAAGAGCCAAAUUUCAGAGCUUCAAGGUCUUAGAUCAUGGGCUGAGAUGGACAUCCUUAGAAAAGAGUAGGAACUAGAAAGACGCCACAGAGCUAGAAUGCACAGCCCACAGUGCCACCUUAGAACUUGGAACAUAGAUGAUCAGAGUGGAGAGGUGAUACUCCCAGAAUCUUCUAGAGAAAGGAAUGUCAAGAUUCCAUAGUAUCAUCCUUCUAGGAACCCAGGUUCCCAGCCUCAGAUCUUUUCUCUAUUGCCCAAUAUAUCCAAUCAAUGGUGAGAAGAUGAAAUGAUGAAUGUUGGAGGGGCUGGGAGAGAACAUCCCACUGUGAGAAUGCUCUGCUAGUGUGUCUAGGAAUGGAUACAACCAUUCUUGAAAGCAGGUUGGAAUUAAACACAAAGAGUUAGUAAAUGCUGCAGGCCCUGGAACAAAGGAAGCACUCAAUAAAUGCCUUUCAAUUGAUUAAUAUGUGAGGUAAAUGAGAGAAAGGAGUCAAAGGUGAACCCAAGGUUGUGAACGUGGGCCACACCUGGGAAGGAGAGUGAUGCCCUAAACUGGAAAAUGUCCAAUAAGCAAUUAGAAAUGCCAAACUCGGCCUCAGGAGAGCUCCAGUACCUGGCUAGGGCUAGAUAAAGAAAUCUGCAGAUGUUAUCAUAAUAGAAUAAUGAAGUGAUGAUUGGACCCUGGGAUUUACCAAAUGAAAGAAUAGCAAGAGAAAAGCCUGGAGGGACACCUAUAGUGAGAAGGGAUGACAAAGAUGAAGGAAACUGAGGAAUGGUCAGAUUGGGAGGAAGACAACCAAAAGAGAAAAGGCUAAGAAAAAGGCUAGAGAGGAGAGAAUAUCCAGAAAUAGAAGAUGCUUAUGGGAGGGGGCAUCUAGGGAGCUCAGCGGAUUGAGAGCCGGACCUAAAGAUGGGAGGUCCUGGGUUCAAACCUGAAUUCAGACACUUCCUAGCUAUUAGAAAGUGGGCAAGUCACUUAACCCCCAUUGCUGAACCCUUACCACUCUUCUGCCUUGUAUUGUUCUAAGAUAGAAGGUAAGGGUUUGGGGUUUCUUUAAACAGUAUUAUGGAAAAUAAAAUUUUGAAUUACAUUUCUUAGAUAAGGGUCUGUUAUCCAAAAUAAAUAAAUGACUACAGAUAACACAGAGAGGAAAAUGGAAGAUAGGCACACUAAGAGAAUUGUGACAUAGAGGAGAGAGUAUCCAGGAAGAGAAAAUAAUUAUUUGUUGCGAUGAGAAGGUAAUGUGCAUCACUGAUCAUGGGUGACCAUGGUGAGGAAUGGAUUACAAGUAAUAGCUCAGCAAGUUUUGCUUUGAACUAAUCAACAUCCAGCUCUGAUAUUCUAUCUUGAUACAAUGUACAACUUGACUUUUUUUUUAUCAUGCCUUUCAGGUAGUCCAGUGAUUCUUAGACUGUCUCUCCUGGAUCUAUUUUCAAGAAUAUUUUUCCACGGUUACAUGAUUCAUGAUUCCAACUCCUCCCUCCCCACUCCCAGAGCUGACAAGCAGUUCCACUGAGUUAUACAUGUAUGUGUUCAAAACCUAUUUCCAUGUUAUUCAUAUUUGCAGUAGAGUGAUCUUUUAACAUCAAAACCCUAAUCAUAUCUCCAUCAAACCACGUGAUUGAUCAGAUGUUUUCCUAAUGCAUUUCUGUUGCCACAGUUCUUUUUCUGGAUGUGGAUAAUGUUCUUUCACCUAAAUCCCUCUGGAUUGUCUUGGGCCAUUGCAUGGCUGCUAGUAGAGAAGUCUUAUUACAUUCAAUCAUGCCAUAACGUACCAAUCUCUGUGUACAAGGUUCUCCUGGUUCUACUCCUCUCACUCUGCAUCACUUCCUGGAGGUCUUUCCAGUUCACAUGGAAUUCCUCCAGUUCAUCAUUCCUUUCAGCACAAUAAUAUUCCAUCACCACCAGAUACCACAAUUUAUUGAGCCAUUCCCCAUCAAGGGACACCCCCUCAUUUUCCAAUUUUUUCCACCACAAAGAGCACAGCUAUAAAUAUUUUUGUACAAGUAUUUGUCCUUAUUAUCUCUUUGGGGUACAAACCCAGCAGUGUUAUGGCUAGAUCAAAGGGCAGACAGUCUUUUAUCGCCCUUUGGGCAUAGUUCCAAAUUGCCCUCCAGAAUGGUUGGAUCAAUUCACAACUCCACCAGCAAUGAGUUAAUGUCCCAACUUUGCCGCAUCCUCUCCAACAUUUAUCACUUUUGGUACCUCAGCAUUGUUUUGAUUUGCAUUUCUCUAAUCAGAAUGGAUUUUAGAACACUUUUUUCAUGUGCCUAUUGAUAGUUUUGAUUUCAUCAUGUGAUAGAUGCCUAUUCAUGUCCCUUGACCACUUGUCAAUUGGGGAAUGGUUUGAUUUUUUUGUAAAUUUGACUUAGUUCCUUAUGUAUUUGGGAAAUUAAACCUCUGUCAGAGUUUUGUUAAAAAUGUUCUCCCAGUUCUUAUUUAAUUUUCAAAUUCCUUUUUGAGUUCUUCUAGGGCCUAAGACCAAUUCCCAUUUUUCUUUGAAGUUUUGCACAUAGUUGCUUUGCUCUCGCUAUUCCUUACUAAAUCAGUGCCUUGCUCUUCUUUGUCACCAUAUACAUUUUCUAUGGUUAGGUGUUUCUUUUGCUGUUUGCUCAUUUUCCUAGACUUUUUUUGCUUGUGGACUGGGAGUUCAGAAAAUUUCUGAUUCUGUCUCCUCUGCUGAUGGCUUAUAGUACUUAGAGCAUUGUGAGAUAUUUUGCCCUGAUCCUAGGACCUUUGCCUCAGGACAGGCUUAAAAGGGUCGAGUGCUAUGGACUUUGGGGCCUCACUGUGGGCUGGUGCCAGCACUUGGGUCUUAAAGGGGUGGGUGAAGGGUGCUCUGCUGUUGGCUUAAGGCAGGGUCCAAGGAUCCCAAAGUUGUCCCAUGCCCAGGCUCAGGACCUGGCUCAAUAGGCGAGGGUGGUAUGGUGGUGUGGUGGUGGGGUGAUGGUCAGCCUGCAGUCCUCUAUGUGCAGUUUUAUUCCUGGUUCCCCCUUAUCCCAUGAAAAUCAACUCUGUCUGCCUACCUUUCAAGUUGUUUUCUGCAGGAGAGCCCCCUCACUUCGUCUCCUUGUUGGAUCUCUGACUUCAGUCAUUUUGAGGUACUAUUUUAAGGUGAGUUUGGGAGGAUUUUCAGAACGGUUCCAGCAUUCACUGCUACUAAAUUGCCAUCUUCCAAUGUGCAACCUGGAACUUAGUCUAUCAGACCUGGAAAUGUCCUUUGGCUAUCAAAUAUCAUUAGAAGAAUAUAGGUUGAUCAAAUUGGAGGGACCCAAGAGCAGAAAUGGCAUGUCUGUGGGAAUCUUCAAAAACAGCACAUAUAUCGCCAAACAUCAGGGCACAUGAGCCAUUUUACUUUAUGGUAGUUACUAGCAGAGCAGAAAGGGCCAUAUAAACUAUGAGGAGUGCUAUACAAUUAAUUCGUAAAUCAAUAUCCAAGGUCCCAGCCAGGUCUGAUAUUCUAUCUUUCUAUGAUGCUGUAAAACUUGGAGCAUAUUCUGUCUGACCUGGAAGUGCCCUUUAGCUAUCAGCUAUCAUCAGUGGAAUGGAGUAUAGAUUGGUAGAGGUGGACAGACCCAAGAUCAUGGAGUACAGGAAUGCAAACUGGUCUCAUGAGAAGGAUCUGGGCACCACCAAACAUGGAUGACCAUUGGGGAGGAUGAUUUUCAGAUCCUAGCUACCCAGGUUUUGCUUUGAUCUUAUCGAUAUCCAAGGGCCCAUCCAGGUCUGUUAUUCUAUCUUUCUAUGAUGUGCAACUUGGAACCUUGUCAGAUUUGGAAGUAUCCUUUGACUAUAAACUCUUAGUAGAAGAAUGGGCAAUUAGAUACAGGUUGGUCAAGGUGGAGAGACCUGAGAGCUUGUAGUGUCAUGCCAGUGAAGAGUCUUCAAACACAGUACACAAAAUGAGAAGAGGUCUCACACUGUCAAAAACAAGAACACCGCUGGCCCUGAAGCCAGAAGGAGAAAGGGCCCUAUAAACCAGAGGGAUGGUUUACAACUCAGGGCUCACCAUCCAGGGUCCCAUCCAGGUCGGAUAUUCUGUCUUUCAGUGAUGUUCUAAACCCUGGAACACAGGCUAUCUGACCUAGAAGUGUCCCUUGGCUAGCGACUGUAUUCAGAAGAAUGGAAGAUGAAAUAUAGGGAAAUCCAUAAGACACAGACGGUCAGGGCUAAGAGAUGCUAUUAAACAUUAUAUCGAGUAGCAAAGCUAGGAAUAACUUUAGAACAAAGACUGUACAAUUAAAUCAAAAUGUGCCAGUUUCACAGAGAAAGGCAGGGCUAGACGGGCCAUUAAAACUGAAAACAGACCAUGCACAAUAGAGGAAGAUUCAGUCAUGGAUAUAAAGUAUAUGACUUUAGAACACCAAGGGGUAUCAUGCGAAGGAUUUGUGCAUCAUCAAACACGGAUAUCCUUUGUGAGAGUUGGUUUACAACUCACCGUUCUUUAGGUUUAGCUUGGACUAACCAACAUCCAACGUUUCAUCUCGGCUUGAUGUAAUAUCUUUUUCUGGUGCUAUAAACUGUGGAGCAUAGUCUAUCUGACCUGGAAGUGACCUUUGGCUAUUAGCUGUCAUCCAUGGAGUAGACAGUGGAAUAUAGAUUGAUAGAGGUGGACAGACCCAAGAUCCCAGAAGUGCAGGAUGCAAAGCAAUAUCAUGAGAAGGAGCUGGGCAUCACUGAACAUGGCUGACCUUUGGGCAGGGUGGGCUACAAGUCAUACUUGGGCAGAUUUUGCUCUGAACUGAUAAACGUCCAAGGUCCCAACCAGGUCCGAUAUUCUACCUUGCUAUAAUGUAUAUAACUUAGAACUUAGUCCAUCAGAUCUGAAAGUGUCCUUUGACUACCAACUGUUAUCGGAAGAAUAGGCAAUUGAAUACAGGUUGGUCAACGUGGAAAGACCUGAAAGCAUGGAGUGUCAUGCCUGUGAAAAGUCUUUGAACAUGGUACAUCUAAUAACGGAAGGAAGAGAAGUCUCCGACCAUAAACCACAAGACAGCAAUGGCCACAAGGCCUUUCACCUCGUAGUAGUUGUUAUCAAAGCAGAAAGGGCCCAAUAAGCUACGAUUUGGAAAACUGAGCUUUUAAUGAACUCAGGGCUCACCAUCCAGGGUCCCACCCAGGUCAGAUAUUCUGUCUUUCAGUGACGUUGUAAACCCUGGAACACAGGCUAUCCGACCUGGAAGUGUCCUUUGGCUAUCGACACUUUUCAGAAGAACGGACAGUGUGAUAUAGGGAAAUCCAUAGGACACAGUCAGGGCCAAGAGAUGCUUUAGAAAAUAUGAUAUGGAGCAGCUAGGUGGCUCAGUGGACUGAAAGCUGGAUCUAGAGAUGGGAGGUCCUGGGUUCAGGUAUGACCUCAGGUACUUCCUAGCUGUUUGACCCUGGGCAAAUUGUGCUCGGGCCUUAUUACUCUUCUGCCUUGGAAUCAGUGCAUAGUAUUGAUUCUAAAAUGGAAAGUAAGGGUUUUUUAAGACAAAACACAGAAAGACAAAGCUGAGAAUGGCUUUAGAACAAAGGUUCUACAAUUGAAUUGUUUUUUGAAAUUAUUCCAAAUUUUACAAAACGAAACGAAACAAACAUUUCCAUGUUCAGAGAAAAAGAAAAGAGCCCACAAAUCUUCUCUAUGUUUAGCUUACUUUCUUCAUUUCUACAUAAUAAAUUCCCUCCACAUGUGUCUCAGCUCCUCUUCACCUUCCCCGCAUCACAAAAGAUACAUCAAGGAGGCCAACAUGUACAUAGAAAUUAAGUCUUUCAUGUUUCACCUUUCUGUUCAUUUUCUGGAGGAAGCAUUCAGCUUAUUCUUAUAGCAUUAAUUCCGUGGCUGUGUAUAAUGUUCUCCUGGUUCUACUCAUUUCACUGUUUAUUAUCUCAUGUAGUUCUUUCCAAGUUUUUUUUAAUCGGUUUGUUCAUUGUUUCUCAUGGCACAGUAGUUAAUAUUCCAUUACAAUCGUAUACCACAAUUUGCUCAGCCAUUCCCCAAUUGACAAGCACCCCCUCAGUUUCCAAUUCUUUGCCACCCCAAAGAGAGCUGCUAUAAAUAUUUUGGAAUGCAUAUAUAGGUUCUUUCCCCUUUCCCUUAUCUCCUUGGGAAAUAGACCUCACAGGGUAGACAUAGUCUUAUAACUCUCUGGAUAUCAUUCCAAAUUGCUCUUCAAUUGGAUCAGUUCACAGCUCCACCAACAGUGUAUUGGUGUCCCCAUUUUCCUAUAUGUUCUCCAAUAUUGGCCACUUUGCCCUUUUGGUUUGCAUUUCUCUAUUCAGUAGUGAUUUAGAGCAUUUUUUCAUAUGACCAUAGAUAGUUUUAAUUUCUUCCUCUGAGAACUGCCUGUUCAUGUCCUUUGACCAUUUAUCAUUUGGGGAAUGACUUCUUCUUUUUCUUCUUCUUCUCCUCCUCCUCCUCCUCCUCCUUCUUUCUUCUUCUUCGUACCAACUUUACCCCAAAAGACAGAGUUAAACAAGACAUUAUAACUGACAAUGUGGACUAUCCAUGAUAUCAGGACCUUCAGACAUGGGUAUAAAGCAUAGAACAAAAACUGUUAUCAUGAGAAUGAGUUGGGCAUCACUGAAUGUAGAUGACCUUUGUAAGGGAUGCUUGACAACUCAUAGCUCUUUGAGUUUGGGUUUGAAGUAAUCAGUAUCCAAGGUCCCCUCUAGGUCUGACAGUCUAUCUUCCUAUGCUACUGUAAACCUUGGAACAUAGUCUAUCGGACCUGGAGGUGUCCUUUGGCCAUCAGCUCUCAUCAGUGGGGUGGAUGAUGGGAUAUAGGUUGAUAGAAGGACACAGGGACAUAGAGUGUCAUACCUUCAAAGACUCAUGGAAUGGAGCACAUAAAUGACAGAGUGACAUGAGAUUUCAGACCCAUAAAGAAGGAAAACUUGUGUCUUCGGGUCUUUUCACCUUUGGGCAGACACUAUUUUGGCAGAAAGGCCCCCCAUAGGACUUUAAAGGACAGGGUUGGAGUCCAUAUGAUUCAAACGGUGAGGGCUGAGAGAUGUGUGAACAUAGACUGCGAGCUCCAGACCCGGAGUUCAAGCAUGUAACUUUAGAAAGCAAACUGUUGUCAUGAGAAGAAACUGUAUGUCAUCAAACAUGGACAGCUUUUCAGAUAAAAGGUUACAAGUCAUCACUCCGUAAGUUUUGCUUGGAACCAAUCACCAUCUAAGGCCCCACCCAGGUCCAGUAUUCUAUUUUUCUAUCAUGUACUUAGUACUUUCUAUCAUGUCCUUUCUAUCAUGGAACUUAGUCUGUCAGGUCUGCAAAUGUCCUUUUGGGUAUCAGCUGUUAUCAAAAGAAUGUGUAAUUGGAUAUUGGUUGAUGGAGGUGGAAGGAUCCAAGAGCAUAGUUAUGCUUUUGAAAAGUCUUUGAACACAGAACAUUGUGGUGAGAGUGAGAAGGGAUAUUAGAUCAUAAAAAGCCAAAAUGUCAGUGGCCAUAAGGCUUUUCAGCUUGGCAUAGUUACUAUAAGAGAGGGCAGAAAGGGCCCUAUAAACCACAAGGUGUUGUUUAACCAACUCAGCUUCAUAUCCAGGGUCCCAUCUAGGUCUGAUACUCUAUCUUUCAGUGAUGUUCUAAAACCUGGAACAUAGUUUGUCUGGCCUGGAAGUGUCCUUUGGCUAGGACUCUAUUGAAAAGAAUGGACAACAGGAUCUAGGGAAGUGAGUAGGACAUAGAUUGUCAGGGCUGAGAGAUGCCUUACAAGGUAUAACAUAGAGUGCCAGAGUUAGGGAUGACAUUUUAGAGAGGAGAUAGUACGGGUGGGAAGUGCCAAGCUAACGGAGACAGGAAAGAACAGAUGGGCCAACAGCACUGAGACCCAGACUAUUUAGAUUACAGACCCCAAAGAUAUAGAAUUAGAGCAUAUCACUUUAGAAAGCAAGCAGGUGUCGAGAGGAGUCAUGCACCAUUUAACACGGAUGGCCACCCACUGGGAGGAAUCAUUCACAAAUCUGAGCUUUGCAGGUUUUGAGUGGACCUAAUCGACACCCAAGGCCCCAGUCAGGUCUGAUAGUCUAUCUUCCUGUGCUGUCAUAAAUCUUGGAGCAUAGUCUAUCCGGCCUGAAAGUGACCUUUGGCUAUCAGCUGUCAUCUACCAGUGGAAUGAAGAAUGGAAUAUCGAUUGAUCAAGACAGAAGGACCCUAGUCCAUGGAGUACAUGGACACAGACCAGGGUCACAAGAAGCUGUACAUCGUCGAACACAGAUAGCCAUUGGUGGAGACAGGUAAGUGGACCUACUUCUUCAUGUUUAAGCUGGCCUAAAUCUUUUCUAAGGUCUCUUCUUAGUCUGAUAUUCCAUGUUUCUAUGUCAUGAAACUUGGAGCAUAGAAUGUCAGAUCUAGAAGUAACCUUAACCCCAUGUUGGCAAACCUAUGGCAUGUAUUCUGGAGCAUGCCAGAGGGGGCUGCUCCCCUCUCCCUUUCUAUGUGCUCCUGAGGACAUUUCUCAUCUGACCUGCCUCUGCCCAGCAGCCCAAUGGGAGUGCUUCCUCCCUCCCCUGUCUGAGGUAAGGCAAAGAGGUCACAUGUGGUAUGAGGGUUGCAGUUUGGGCCCUCGGUCUCUAAAAGGUUCACCAUCACUGCCUUAGCCUAUCAGUAGAUAAUAGUAGAAUAGCCAGAGGACUAUCAACUAAGGAAGAUGAAAGGUCCUAAGACAAUAGUUCCCAAAGCCUGGGAGCAGCCUUAAAACACAGCAUAGGGAAGGAAUGCACUGCAUUUCUUCACAACAUAAAAUGGUGAGGGUGAAGGAAGCCUUUGAACAGUGUCAUAGCUUGAAAUGUCCCUUAGAAUGGAGCUAGGAAGGAUAUCAGAAGAGAGAUGUUAGAUUGCCAUAGCUGCAGGAGACUAAAAAAAUGGAAUAAUCAAAGAGGAAAUACUGUUAGAACGUAAACAGGACUGGAAGGAACCUUAGUACAGAGGAAACAGAUGAUCUAAUUUGGAUGGACCAGCAUGUGCUUUUAGAAUAUACACUGAUAAGAUUAGAAGGAGCCAGCCAAUUUGAACAUGGAACACCAGAAAGGGGAUGCUGUAGGGGACACCUCUUUAGGAUUUAGUUCGACUAAAUCAUCUCUAUAAUCCCUUUUCAGUCUGAUGUUUCCGAUUUCCAUGAUUUUGUGACUCUUAAAGUUGAGAAUGUCAGCUAUACAAAGGACCUUGGAUAAUCAACGGGCUGUGAGGGAGUUGCAUGGAGGCUGUUCAGGAGGGAAGGAAGCAAGAGUGUCAGGUCUAAGGGCAGUGCUGAAACACAGGACCUGGGAAGGCCAAGGGAGAGGAGGCCCUGGAGUGUAGAAUGAAUAAGAAUAGAAUCCUUACAAUAUGGAAAAGCAGGUCUAUAAAGGAUCCUUUGAACAUAGAACACAGAGAACCUGGGGCUAGAAGUAAACUUGGAAUUUAAAAGAUGAAAUCUAGAAGGGGCCAUGAAAACUAGAGCAGAGAGUGUAAGAAGAGAAAGGGCUUGAGAACAUGGAAUGACCAAGUAGAAGUCCAUAGAUCCCAGACUAUCAGAGCUGAGAGAUGUCUUAGUGACAAAGAUGGAUGGAGCUUUCCAUCCACAACACAGUUUCACAGCAGGAAGGACCCAAGAACACAGAAUAAAAAGGCUGGAAAGACCAUUAGAACUUGGAUUUUAGAUCUCUGAACUCUGAUCUCCAGGAAGUAGGGGAUUAAGUAUGGGAAUGAAAAGGCUUAAAAGUGAAUAUAGGGGGCAGCCAGGUGGCUCAGUGGAUUGAGUGCCAAGUCUAGAGAUGGGAAGUCUUGGGUUCAAAUCUGGCCUCGGACACUUCCUAGUUGUGUGACCCUGGGCAAGUUACUUAAUCCCUAUUGCCUGGCCCUUACCACUCUUCUGCGUUGGAACCAACACACAGUAUUGUUUCUAAGAUGGAAGAUAAGGAUUUCUUAAAGUGAAUGCAAACCAUGGACUCUUGGGAUUAGAAUGGCCUCUACAGUGAUGAAAAUGAUUGAACAUUGGGAAGGGUGGUUAAUAGGGCAUCUCUGUUAAGGUUUUGGUUAGAUCUAGUCACAUGUAAGGUCUCUUCUUCGUCUGAUAUUCCAUGUUUCUAUGAAUCUGUGAAACGUGGAAAAUGGGAUAUAUGUCCUAAAAAUGGCCUUAGGCUAUCAACAGUCAGCAACAGAAUGGACAGUUGAAUAUGGAUUGAGAGAGAUGGAAGUAUCUGAGAGCAUGGAGGGGCAUGCAUAUAAUAACAGAAGAAGUGUGGGCUCAGAACACAGACAAUGGCCACGGAGCUUUUCCACUUAGGUGCUAUCAGAGCAGAAAGGGCCUCUUUAGAUCUUUGAAGGACAGUGUUCGAAGUCCAUAGGACACAGACUGUCAGGGCUGAGAGAUGUCUUAGAGGGCAUAACAUAGAGUGACUGAGCUGAGAAUGACAUCAGAACAAGGAUUAUACAUGUAGGAAGUACCAAAUAAACACAGAAAGGACGUCUAGAUGGGAUGCUAGCAUUAAGAAUGCAGACUAUCCAAAUUAUUAAGCUCUUCAGACACAGAUUCAAAGCAUGUACUUGAGAACAUAAACUAUUAUGAGAAGAAUCUGUGUAUCAUUGAACAUGGAUGACCAUUGGGAGGGAUGAUCUAUAAAUCAUAGCUCUACAGGUUUUGCUUUGAUCCAAUUGACAUCCAAGGUCUCAUCCAGGUCUGAUAGUCUACCUUUCUGUGAUGUAAAACUCAGAAAGUAGUUUAUCAGAUCUGGAAGGGUCCUUUGGCUAUCAACUGUCAUCAGUGGAUGGACAAUGGAAUAUGAAUUGAUCAAGGUAGAAGGACCCUAGUUCAUGGAAUACAUGGAUACAAACUGAGGCCAUGAGAAGUUGUACAUCAUUGAACAUGGAUGGCCUUUAGUGGAGUCUGGUAAGUAGACAUACUUCUUCAUGUUUAGGAUGGCCCUCAUUUUUCUUAAGGUCUCUUCUUAGUCUGAUAUUCCAUGUUUCUAGGGUAUCAAGAGACUUGGAGCAUAGAAUGUCAGGUCUAGAAGUUACCUUAACGUAUCAGUGGAUGAUAGUGGAAUGGCCAAAGGAAUAUUGAUUAAGGAAGUUGAAAGGUCCCAAGACAAAGGUCCCGAAGCCUGGGAACAGCCUUAAAACACAGCAAAGGGAAGGAAUGCACUGCAUUUCUUUAUAAUAUAAAAUGGUGAGGGUGAAGGAAGCCUUUGAACAGGGAACACAGAGUGUCAUAGCUUGAAAUGCCCUUUAGAAUGGAGCUAGAGAGACUAUCAGAAGAGAGAUCUUAGAUUGCCAUAGCUGCAGGAGACUGAAGAAAUGGAAUGGUCGAAGAAGAAAUGCUGUUCGAACAUAAACAGGACUAGUGGGAACGUGAGUACAGAGAAAACAUGAUACUAACUAAGUUAUAAUGCUCUUCAUUCACAGAUUUAAAGCACAUACCUGCGAAGAUUCUGUGGAUCACUGAACACGAAUGGCCGCUGGAAGGGAUCGUUUACAAGUCGUGGCUCUACUUCGACCAAAGUGACAUCCAAUGUCCCCUCUAGGUCUGAUAUUCUAUCUUUCUGUGAUAUAAAACUUGAACCUUGGUCUAUCAGACCUAGAUGUGUCUUUUGGCUAUCAACUGUCAUCAGAAGAACGGAGAACAGAAUAUGCACUGAAGUGGAACAACCUGAGAGCUUGGAGCAGCACACCUGCAGCGUCUUCCACCACAGGGUUUAUAAUGAUGGGGGAGGAAGAGGUGUCAGACCAAAGGAAAUAAGUAUGUCAAUGCCCUUGGAGCUUUUCAGCUUAGGGAAAUUACUAUCAUCAGAGCAGAAAAGGCCUCCUUAGAUCUUUGAAGGACAGUGUUGGAAGUCCAGGAGACACAGGACUGUCAGGGCUGAGAGAUGCUUAAAGGAUGUAACCUGGAGUGAGAGAGCUGGGAAUGGCUUUAGGACAAGGAAGGGACACUUGGGAAAUGCCAGGUGAACACAGAAAGGCAGACCUAAAAGGGAUGCUUGGCCUGAGAAUGCAGCCUCUCUAAGAUGUCAGUUCUUGUAGACACAGAUUGAAAGCAUGUUUUAUUUUAUUGUUUACCAAUUACAUGUAAUAACAAAUUUUCAUACAAAUGUUCCCAAGUUAUGAUCGAACUUACCUCCCUCCCUCCCUCCCUUCCCUUCUUCCUCCCAGGUGAUUUGAUUUGGGUUAUCCAUGUAUUGUCAUACAAAAUGCAUUUCCCCAUUGUUUAUUUUUGUACCUGAGUAAUCAUAAAACCAAAUAAACAAUUGAAAAAUUGCAUGUGCUUUUAGAACACGAA